CCCUGCCAUUUGUACACACCGCCCGUCGCUCCUACCGAUUGAAUGAUCCGGUAAACAUCUCGGAGCUAGAACGUUUUACGUUCCCGUGAAGUUAUGUAAACCUUAUCAUUUAGAGGAAGGAGAAGUCG
rnacentral:rRNA from 1 species